UCAUCGAUGGAUGGAUUUUCAAAUAACUUGGCAUGAAUGUGUACCACAGUAAGAUGACGUGUCACACGCAAGACCCAGGUCCGUAGCUCAAAGGUCAAGGUCACACUUAGACGUUAAAGAUCAUUUUUCAUGAUAGUGCAUUGAUGGGCAUGUCCGGUCCAUAUCUUUGUCAUUCAUGCAUGGAUUUUAAAAUAACUAUGCAUGAAUGUGUGACACAGUAAGAUGAUGUGUCGAGCGCAAGACCCAGCUCCGUAGGUCAAAGGUCCUAAACUCUAACAUCGUCCAUAACUAUUCAUUCAAAGUGCCAUCGGGGGCAUGUGUCAUCCUACGGAGACAGCUCUUGUUUAAAUGUGAAAGGGAUGAGUUGAAGUCUGAUCGAUUCCCGAUUGAGGCAGUGCCUUAUUUCAUAUUAUACAUUGUAUACAAUAGUUGCAUUUUUUUUCAAUAUUAAUUGCAGCUUUAUAAAUUAGAACACUUCAGGUUCAUGUUUGAUAUAGUUUAUUAAUGAUUAUAAUUUUAAUCAUACAAUGAGUUAUGAGAUAUUUUAUUAAUUUUAAUAUAUUUAGAUUAAUAAAUGUAAAAAGUCUGUAUUAAAUGCAUAGGUCAUCUUUUGUACGAAAAUAAAGGAAAAAAAAUGUUGUAUAAUUUUCAUAUUCAGUUUUGGUAGGGAAAAGUUUGAGUAUGUACAUGUACAGUUGUUUGACCUGUCUUACCCUGUGGCAGUCCAAGAAGAUAUUACCAUUAUGAAAAAUGCAGGAGAACUUGAAGACAAUUGUUAGUGCAGAAGGGACAUAAAAGUUAUGACAAAAGUAACAGAUAUAAAUAAGAAGUGCUACAAGUGUGUUGUCAUGUGAAAUGGAAUUUACCCCAACUGUGCUGCAAAAUGUAUAUUCAAGUGCAAGACAGUCAUGCACCAGCUGUAAACUGAGAUGGACCCAUAUAAUAAAUAUGUUGACUUUUCUAUGUAUUAUCAUCUGUACAGAAUGUGUUCAUGACAAGCCUGUAUACAUAUAUUGUUAAAUCAUUUUUUAUUUCCAUUAUUGCAUGCAUGUAAGAAGCAAGCAUUUAACAAUUGCAUUCAUAGAAGUGUUAAAAUGUGAUCAAUCUAAUUUAAAGAAAACACAUUUAAUUUGACUUUUUAAGUUUCAUAGUAUUUGUGGUGGAGACUGACCAGUCAUUCAGCAACUUAUACUGUCUGUGUGUCAUUUCUUGUAUGUUAUAGUUUUCUUAAUAAUACAUUAAAUGUCAAAGUUAUGCUAAGAUGAACUCAUUCAUCACUUGUAGAUUAAUGUUAAAGCAGUUCAACAUUUUACCAUAAGUUAACUAAUAUUCUAUUUAACCAGAGUUGUCACAUAUUUUCAUAUAAAUAUUUGUAUAAUACAGUCUAAUCUAAUCUACAUAUGAUGUU